GGAUUAUAGUGAUUCAGAGGAAAGAUAAGAAGGGCCAUGUCGAUGAUGUUCAGAGCGUCAUGGUAAUGCUUCUGUGCUGACAGCAGGAGGGCAAGGAGGUGCAGGGAGUUGGCAUCGUCACCUUGAAGCUGAAGAGCUUGGCGGACAUACCCCAGAGCCUCUGGGAUCUGGUUUAAAACAAAACCAAAAAAGGUUUUACAUACACACAUGCACACGCACACACACACACACACA
rnacentral:lncRNA from 10 species